UACGGAGGAUCCGAUCGUUAUCCGGAUUUAUUGGGUUUAAAGGGUGCGCAGGCGGGAGAUUAAGUCGGCGGUGAAAUUUUGCAGCUCAACUGUAAAAGUGCCUUCGAUACUGGCUUCCUUGAGUGUGGAUGAAGUAGGCGGAAUUUGUGGUGUAGCGGUGAAAUGCUUAGAUAUCACGAGGAACUCCGAUUGCGCAGGCAGCUUACUAAACCACUACUGACGCUCAUGCACGAAGGCGUGGGGAUCAAACAGGGAUUAGAUA
rnacentral:rRNA from 1 species